GAUGAACGCUGGCGGCGUGCCUAAUACAUGCAAGUCGAGCGAACAGACGGGGAUAUUGCUCCUCUGACGUUUGCGGCGGACGGACGAGUAACUCGUGGCUAACCAACCUAUCAGACUGGGAUAACUUCGCGAAACAGGAGCUAAUACCGGAUAAUUAAUUGCUCCGCAUGGUUCCAUAGUGAAAGACGGUUUUGCUGUCACUUAUAGAUGGAUCCGCGCCGCAUUAGCUAGUUGGUGAGGGAACGGCAUACCAAGGCUACGAUGCGUAGCCGACCUGAGAGGGUGAUCGGCCACACUGGAACUGAGACAGGGUCCAGACACCGACGGGAAGCAGCGGUAGGGAAUCUUCCGGAAAGGGGGAGAGCGUGACGGAGCAACGCCGCGGGAGGGAUGAAGGUGUUCGGAUCGUAGAAUUCUGUUAUUAGUAGAGAAGAAAUGUGUAAGUAACUAGGCACGUCAUGACGGUACCUGAACAAAAAGCCACGGCUAACUACGUG
rnacentral:rRNA from 1 species